UGCAAGGGCUGGGCAGAGCGGCACCUUGACUGCACUGUUCCACAAACAGGUCGAGGGGCUGGGCUCAGGCCUUGUUCCUGGCCCCAUCGCCCAGAGGAGCCUGCCUCUGGCACCGAGGAGCUCCAUGCCCUGGUGAGGGCUCGCUCCAUCACGGUGACUGGCAGGUGGCACUUGGGGGGACUGUACCUGGCUGCCGUGGUUGUGCGUAGGCAAGGCUCUUCUCAGCUAACUGAGAACAUCUCUGCAUUCUUCCCCCGGCCAGCACGCUGCAAAACACAGGACCACUCUGCUGUGCUGUGGUGUUUGAAGAAACAGUUCAGGUACAGAAACACAGUUCAGCCCUGAGAAGUUUGGAGCGCACCAGCAGCUCUUCUUUUUCCACCCUGGUGGCUGAAACCGUCCAGCUCCUGAGAACAUCCCCUGGAUUCAGCCUGCAAGCUCUUUGCUACCGGCUCAGCAGCGUGGGGGAGAAGAGGCUGCACUCCCUAAGAGCUGGCUGGCUGCGCUGCUGCAGCUGUGCUCAGGGCUGACCCCAGCUGGUGCAACUUGAGGCCCUUCACAAGCCUUGCUGCCCUUCUUUGGACCUGCAAUAGGGAAGCUUUUGUAUUUA
rnacentral:lncRNA from 1 species